UACGUAGGGCGCAAGCGUUAUCCGGAAUUAUUGGGCGUAAAGAGCUCGUAGGCGGUUUGUUGCGUCGGCUGUGAAAUCCCGAGGCUCAACCUCGGGUCUGCAGUCGAUACGAGCAAACUAGAGUGUUGCAGGGGAGACUGGAAUUCCUGGUGUAGCGGUGAAAUGCGCAGAUAUCAGGAGGAACACCAAUGGCGAAGGCAGCUCGCUGGGACGGUACUGACGCUGAGACGGCGAAAGCGUGGGGAGCAAACAGG
rnacentral:rRNA from 1 species